rnacentral:rRNA from 1 species
CAAUAGCGUAUAUUUAAGUUGUUGCAGUUAAAAAGCUCGUAGUUGGAUUUCGGAUGGGACUUGCCGGUCCGUCGUUUCGAUGUGCACUGGCCAGUCCCAUCUUGUUGUCGGGGACUAGCUCCUGGGCUUCACUGUCCGGGACUAGGAGCUGACGAGGUUACUUUGAGUAAAUUAGAGUGUUCAAAGCAAGCCUACGCUCUGAAUACAUUAGCAUGGAAUAACACGAUAGGACUCUGGCUUAUCUUGUUGGUCUGUGAGACCAGAGUAAUGAUUAAGAGGGACAGUCGGGGGCAUUCGUAUUUCAUUGUCAGAGGUGAAAUUCUUGGAUUUAUGAAAGACGAACUUCUGCGAAAGCAUUUGUCAAGGAUGUUUNCAUUAA